GAUGAACGCUGGCGGCGUGCCUAAUACAUGCAAGUCGAGCGAACACACGAGCUUCGUCCUCCUCGCACGUUAGCGACGGACGGGUGAGGAACACGUACAUAACCUACCUAUAAGGCUAGGAUAACGUCGGGAAGCCUGAUCUAGUACCGGAUAAUAUAUUGAACCGCAUGGAUCAAAAGGGAAAGACGGUUUUGCUGUCACUUAUAGAUGGAUCCGCGCCGCAUUAGCUAGUUGGUAAGGUAACGGCUUACCAAGGCAACGAUGCGUAGCCGACCUGAGAGGGUGACCGGCCACACUGGGACUGAGACACGGCCCAGACUCCUACGGGAGGCAGCAGUAGGGAAUUUUCGACAAUGGGCGAAAGCCUGACGCAGCAACGCCGCGUGAGUGAUGAAGGUCUUCGGAUUGUAAACCUCUGUUGUUCGGGAAGAAAACAUGUGUAAGAAAACACGCACGUCAUGACGGUACCUGAUCAGAAAGCACCGGCUAACUACGUG
rnacentral:rRNA from 1 species